GACGAACGCUGGCGGCGUGCUUAACACAUGCAAGUCGAACGGAAAGGCCCUGCUUUUGUGGGGUGCUCGAGUGGCGAACGGGUGAGUAACACGUGAGUAACCUGCCCUUGACUUUGGGAUAACUUCAGGAAACUGGGGCUAAUACCGGAUAGGAGCUCCUGCUGCAUGGUGGGGGUUGGAAAGUUUCGGCGGUUGGGGAUGGACUCGCGGCUUAUCAGCUUGUUGGUGGGGUAGUGGCUUACCAAGGCUUUGACGGGUAGCCGGCCUGAGAGGGUGACAGGCCACAUUGGGACUGAGAUACGACCCAGACUCCUACGGUAGGCAGCAGUGGGGAAUAUUGCACAAUAGGCGGAAGCCUGAUGCGGCAACGCCGCGUGCGGGAUGACGGCCUUCGGGUUGUAAACCGCUUUCGCCUGUGACGAAGCGUGAGUGACGGUAAUGGGUAAAGAAGCACCGGCUAACUACGUG
rnacentral:rRNA from 1 species